rnacentral:rRNA from 1 species
AGUGAACGCUGACGGUAGGCCUAACACAUGCAAGUCGAACGGCAGCACAGUAAGAGCUUGCUCUUACGGGUGGCGAGUGGCGGACGGGUGAGGAAUACAUCGGAAUCUACUUUUUCGUGGGGGAUAACGUAGGGAAACUUACGCUAAUACCGCAUACGACCUACGGGUGAAAGCAGGGGAUCUUCGGACCUUGCGCGAUUGAAUGAGCCGAUGUCGGAUUAGCUAGUUGGCGGGGUAAAGGCCCACCAAGGCGACGAUCCGUAGCUGGUCUGAGAGGAUGAUCAGCCACACUGGAACUGAGACACGGUCCAGACUCCUACGGGAGGCAGCAGUGGGGAAUAUUGGACAAUGGGCGCAAGCCUGAUCCAGCCAUACCGCGUGGGUGAAGAAGGCCUUCGGGUUGUAAAGCCCUUUUGUUGGGAAAGAAAAGCAGCAGGUUAAUACCCCGCUGUUCUGACGGGACGCACAGACUAAGUACCGUUUAACCCUGUG